CCUACGGGUGGCAGCAGUGAGGAAUAUUGGUCAAUGGCCGCAAGUCUGAACCAGCCAUGCCGCGUGCAGGAUGACGGCUCCAAGAGUUGUAAACUUCUUUUGUACGAGGGUAAACGCAGGUACGCGUAUCUGUCUGAAAGUAUCGUACGAAUAAGGAUCGGCUAACUCCGUGCCAGCAGCCGCGGUAAUACGGAGGAUGCGAGCGUUAUCCGGAUUUAUUGGGUUUAAAGGGUGCGUAGGCGGAUCGUUAAGUCAGCGGUAAAAUUGCGGGGCUCAACCCCUUCGCGCCAUUGAAACUGGCGCUCUUGAGUGGAAGAGAGGUAUGCGGAAUGCGUGGUGUAGCGGUGAAAUGCAUAGAUAUCACGCAGAACCCCGAUUGCGAAGGCAGCAUGCCGGCUUCCGACUGACGCUGAGGCACGAAAGCGUGGGUAUCGAACAGGAUUAGAUACCCUAGUAGUC
rnacentral:rRNA from 1 species